GACGAACGCUGGCGGCGUGCUUAACACAUGCAAGUCGAACGGAAAGGCCCUGCUUUUGUGGGGUGCUCGAGUGGCGAACGGGUGAGUAACACGUGAGUAACCUGCCCUUGACUUUGGGAUAACUUCAUGACACUUGGGCUAAUACCGGCUAGGAGCUCCUGCUGCAUGGUGGGGGUUGGAUAGUUUCGGCGGUUGGGGAUGGACUCGCGGCUUAUCAGCUUGUUGGUGGGGUAGUGGAUUACCAAGGCCUUGACCGGUAGCCGGGCUGGGAGGGGGACCGGCCACGUUGGGACGGGGAUGCGGCCCAGACUAGUACGGGAGGCGAGAGUGGAGAAUAGAGCACAGUGGGAGGAGGGAUGAUGCAGCAACGCCGCGUGGGGGAUGACGGGAAGGGGGUUGUAAAGCGCAGCCGCCUGUGACGAGGCGAGAAUGACGGUAAUGGGUAAAGAAGCACCGGCUAACUACGUG
rnacentral:rRNA from 1 species